rnacentral:rRNA from 1 species
ACGGAAUAGAUACCCUGGUAGUCCUAGCCGUAAACGGUGCACGUUUGCUGUAAAAGGAAUCGACCCCUUUUGUGGCGUAGCUAAAACGCGUUAAAAACGUGCCGCCUGGGAAGUACGGUCGCAAGAUUAAAACUCAAAGAAAUUGACGGGGCCUGCACAAGCGGUGGAGUAUGUGGCUCAAUUCGAUGCAACGCGAAGAACCUUACCUGGCCUUGACAUGCAUAUAGUAGAAGGGUGAAAGCCUGACGAGGUAGCAAUACCAGUAUGCACAGGUGCUGCAUGGCUGUCGUCAGCUCGUGUCGUGAGAUGUUGGGUUAAGUCCCGCAACGAGCGCAGCCCCUGUGUCCUGUUGCCCCUCCCGGCGCAAGCGGGAAGCACUCUGGACAGACUGCCUCGCUUCAACGAGGAGGAAGGUGGGGAUGACGUCAAGUCAGUAUGGUCCUUACGGCCAGGGCUGCACACGUACUACAAUGCCCGGCACAAAGGGAAGCGAGACCGCAAGGUGGAGCAAAUCCCC